CAGCCGAGAGCAAACUGCCCCUGCACGGCCGAGAGCAAACUGCCCCUGCACGGCCCAGAGGUGAGAGCAAACUGCCCCUGCACGGCCGAGAGCAAACUGCCCCUGCACGGCCCAGAGGCUGAGAGCAAACUGCCCCUGCACAGCCCAGAGGCUGAGAGCAAACUGCCCCUGCACGGCUGAGAGCAAACCGCUCCCUGCCGACACCACGGACACCACAGCACCCAGGCACACGUGCGGGGCCAAGCCGACCGACGCACACAGCUCGUCCUGCCUUCACACUGGCACCCGCAGCAGAAAUCAGUACUGCAGAUGAGAAAAUACAUUAAAUACCAGACUGGUGAUGGCACUACCUCAGGAAACCAACCUCAUUUCCCAGCAACUGUUCCCUGUCACGCAGUGGAGAAAUAACUCCCAGGCACCGUUUGUUUCCUGGCCCUCUACUUCCAGACUCUCAUGCGCAUCCCUCAGGCACAGGAGUGUCUCUGGACACUACGCAAGGAGGCCGAGCACUGAAGCAAAGACAGCGCAGAGCUGAGUAUUCUAGUGCCAAAUUACCUUUAUAGAUUAAGCCUAUAUCUUAGCAAGCCUCCUCUGGGUGAGGGGGGAAACAAAACCAGAAUUCCUGAGAAUUCUGGCAAGAGAAACAGGAUUUGUCAAAGUUAGUCAUUCCAUGAACAUGAACUAGAACACCUGUACUUCAGGAAGCAGGAGCAACAACAAUGGAUGAAAACGAAGUCUAUAUAGUAAUGCAUCACCUAUACAACCAGAAAUCUGAAAUGCUACACUGGACAACCCUCUGAAGGUUCAUCAAACUGAAAGACAGGGAGGAGUAGCAAGAGAACAUCCUUCAUCCCAGUGAGCAGGAAAGGAACACUGCAGGAGUCUCUGACAGGACAAGAUCAGAGAGUUUAAGGCUUCACCAAAACAAACUUUUUUUUUAAACAAGGCACUUUUCAAACUAAAGGUAAACACAAAACCAAAUGCAGUGAGGAUCGUGGGCUGUUCCAGCAACUGCUUCUAGUGUUACACUAUGCCUUCAAGUCAGAAGUCAGUUUUCUAACACUGGUGCUUCCUAUACACAAAUAUAUUGUUAAAAAAUAAGACCUUACACAUUUGUUAG